UGGGGAAUCUUGCACAAUGGGCGCAAGCCUGAUGCAGCGACGCCGCGUGGGGGAGGAAGGCCCUAGGGUUGUAAACCCCUGUCAGGUGGGAAGAGCAAGAGGUCGGCGAACAGCCGGUCUCCCCGACGGUACCACCAGAGGAAGCUCCGGCUAACUCCGUGCCAGCAGCCGCGGUAAAACGGAGGGAGCGAGCGUUGUCCGGAAUUACUGGGCGUAAAGAGUGCGUAGGCGGCCGUGUAAGUCGUGUGUGAAAGGCCGGGGCUUAACCCCGUGUAUGGCAUACGAUACUGCAUGGCUGGAGACAGGUAGGGGCGAGCGGAAUUCCCGGUGUAGCGGUGGAAUGCGUAGAUAUCGGGAGGAACACCAGUGGCGAAGGCGGCUCGCUAGGCCUGAUCUGACGCUGAAGCACGAAAGCGUGGGGAGCAAACAGGAUUAGAUACCCCUGUAGUCC
rnacentral:rRNA from 1 species